CAGUCGCCGCGGUAAUACGUAGGGUGCGAGCGUUAAUCGGAAUUACUGGACGUAAAGCGUGCGCAGGCGGUUAUAUAAGACAGAUGUGAAAUCCCCGGGCUCAACCUGGGACCUGCAUUUGUGACUGUAUAGCUAGAGUACGGUAGAGGGGGAUGGAAUUCCGCGUGUAGCAGUGAAAUGCGUAGAUAUGCGGAGGAACACCGAUGGCGAAGGCAAUCCCCUGGACCUGUACUGACGCUCAUGCACGAAAGCGUGGGGAGCAAACAGGAUUAGAUACCCCAGUAGUCCCUGUCUCUUAUAC
rnacentral:rRNA from 1 species